CAUAAUUCAAUAUUGACGUUUCCACUUUUUCUCGCUUUCUCUUUCUUUUGUAUUGGGCAACACAUAUUAAAGUUUUCACUUUCUCUCUCUUAUUGGGCAGCAAACUUGUGGUGCUUCGUCUGCCUCUUCACAACAAAAACAACUCCUCCGCCAUUGCUCACCCAACCCUAUUCCAUUUCCCUCACUCCUUCACUCCUUCACUCAGUCCCUAUCAAAAUGCACAGUGCAACGCACGCCGAAGCAGAGCGUCUUCUCAGCAUGCAAUCCCAUAUUCGCGACCUUGGCUUGGACUCCUCCUUGGAGCUGCACACAGUCUCGGAGGACAUGGUCGGGCAAAUCACAAUCUCACCGGCCCCUUUGAUUUAGGUGUCAAAUUUGACGGCGACAUCGCAGGACCUACACUGCAGUCUCAUGGACAUUUAGAAUUUUUUAUGAUAAGCUGUAGGAGACAUUCCAGUGCUAGUCAUUGCAGGUGCUGGAGGUUCCCUUGUCUCUUUGGAAUCCUGUCAAGCUAUGGCCUCAAAACUUCUCAAUUCUCCAGGGGCAGUCCAGUAUGAUCAGGGGGAGCUUCACAGAUUGUGACUAGUAAUGAAACUUGCAAUGUUGUUCAUGAGAAUAGCAAUAUUGCAUCUGAUCAUUUUGAAGCAAAUCCAACUGAGCUGCAGAAUCAGAAGUUGAGUACAGAACCAGAUGCAUCUGGCAAUAAACCUUCGUAUAUAUAUUAGGAAAGGGGAGCUCAUCAUGUUCUAAUAGAAUACCCAAGAUAAAGGGAAAUCAUUUUAAUAAACCAGCUAGCUAACUGCACUUUAAAAUUCCUAUUGGAUUAAUAGACUGAACAUACAUGUAUAUCUAAGGUUUAUCUGCUCAUGCAUAUGAAUAAGAGUUUGUUACAAACGUGGAAUGAUCAUGAUUAAGCAA